GCUACCUUAGCUCAACAGGGAGAGCGCUCGACUUAAGAUCGAGAAAUCCGUGUUCGAACCACGGAGGUCGCA
rfam:Batrachochytrium salamandrivorans strain BS supercont1.4138, whole genome shotgun sequence.